GUCACGCCCGGGUACCAGCGGAAGCAUAUCCGGUACGUGCACAGACCCGCCAUACACCUGCAGUAUAUAAGGCGUCUACGAAGAAAGCAAGUCGAUAGGAAGUAAAACAAAGAAAGUCCUAUCCUGAUAUCAGAGCAAUGUACAAGUCGAUAUACUAUCAGUAAAAGAACAAAGAGUAUACAAUCCAAAAAUCUCAACCACAAGAAGAAGUAUCACAACAAAAACAUCUGGUUCAACAGUAAAUAUACAUCACGGGGUAUACAAAAAUAGGUACAAUGGUGGUCUCUCUAUACAUAGGGACAUCACCCUCGGCCUUAGCCCGAGUAGCAAGGUGAUCGACUAGCGUGCUCCUAGCAAUGUCUAGCUAGACGCGACUCCCUUACCACGAUCCCUAGCCUCUCCUGUAGAUGGCUCUAUAAAAACAACCACCAAAAGGGCGUGAGAACUAUAAACAAUAGUUCCCAGUGGGUAAGCCGCCAGUCUCGGCGAAUUACACCACUAGGCUCAUGAUGUGCUAAAUUGAAAGCGAAAGCAGAAAUGCAGUUAUAUAUAAUUAUUGUCAAUGCACAAGGUAUAUGAGAUGUAAGCCACAUGUCAUCAUAGUCUCAACAAGUAAUGAAUCAAACUGAAUAAUAGAAGCAUUAGAACUAUGAUAGUUAUGAACUAAGUAUAAAUUGUAAAAGUAAACUACUAUACACUGAAACUCGUAAUCAUUCAUUUUACUGUACAAUUCCUUUAGCACUUUUCUUUUCAUUACUAGGGAUUACUCAAAGGUAGUCAGCUUGCCCCGCCUAAUGGCCCGUGCGCAGUGUACACUCCCACGGCAAUCACUUCGACCCCAUCACGCACGGGGAGCAACUGUCUGGCGAACUAGUGCAACUCCGGAGAGUGCCGCUGGUAGGAGCAACCCUCACAAGAUGUGCGAAUGAGCACUAAUGGCAAGGCAAUUAAUAAAUAGUUAAACAAUUCUCAAUUGUCAUCUUUAAACAUAAUUAUAAGGGUUACUUACCCGUGCGACUUUAGGUCUGGAUUGACUAGCCAUGGUUAGUAAUCCACCAGAUUAAAUGACGUAGAUAAAAGAACUAUAUAUUACAUAUGUCAUUUGAUCAACUAUAGUCACCUGACAAUGUUUGAACUACUUUUAACGCAGACAUACAUUAUUGCAUUAUAUUUUGGUUUAUGCAUUGUAAACUCAAAGGAGAAGGAAUCAUUCAAUGAUUCACAUGAAUUAUGCUCUACAUUCGUAUUAUAUAGCUUCAUAAUGAACAUAGAAGGAGUUCACUUGCUCUGGUUAGGUCCGACCCACAUAGCGAUAAGCUCGAUUCAGCCGAAAAGAGUCCCGAAAUUAGCGUCAACUGGCCUCAACCUUGCUGUAAACAAGCAAUCAGAACUGUAUUGGAAACUUUACCAAAGGUCGAAUUUCUAUAAAAUUCUCAAUUGACUAUAUUGAGAAUUUGAUCCUGGUUUUGGUUCACUUUAGUAACUCCAAUUUAACUCUAAAGGACUUCCAAUGUCAAUUGAAGUGAUUCACAGGAUCGUUGCACCCACGAUGCGGAGCAAUACAAAACGACAGUCAAAAUACUCGUAUACUAGUUAAUAUAGCCGGGAAAACUUCACUUAAUCAGUUUUCUAACUGAAAUAUUGACUUACCUUAGUUGAAAAUAUUUUCCAAACGGGUUCCCAAGUGUCACCAAUUAAGCUCAGAGUAAUUCGGAAACCCUGCUGUGAAGAAAAGAGUCCAAACUGAUCAAGCCGUUUAUUAAACCAAUGUUUAAGCUCCGAACUAGAAUCCAUAAAUUCCUAGACUUACCUUCACCAGCUUCAAAGCAGCCUUUCCCUUAGAUUAGGAAAUGGGUAAACUCACAGCUAGAUAACCUGCCAUCUCUAGCUGCCAGGAAUCAAUUUGCAAACCGGAUGCUGCUGAACCGAAUCUAAAUCAGCCAUUUAUCUCAAUUACUGCGCAACGCGAUGAAAAGAAACAUGUACUAUAACGCUUCUUAGAUCCAUAAACUCCAGUUCCAACUAAGCUAAGCCUAUAGUGUUAUCUGACCCUGUCCAAAGCAGCCAAAUCCCUUUUUCUAGCCUGGAAACAACGGAAACCUUAAAAUCAGCCACUUUCGAUAAUUAAGCUAGAUUACGAAAAGGUUGAGUGAUACUCUUCAAGCCCUAACUCAGCAGCUACUGGUCCAGAGUGCCGAAAACUUCCAACGUACUCUCUCACACAUUCACAAGGCUCCGCAACACUCGCAACUAGCCUGAAGAAAAGCAAGUGGCAAAAAUAAGUGAAAGCGUCGAUUUCUUUGUAGAGAGAGGAGAGAGAGAGAUUCUAGAGAGAGAAGGAAACCUUCAAACCUACCUUGCUGAGCUCAGAGAGGCUUAUCCAGGUUGCAGGGGUCGAACUGGAGGUAAAAGGGAUAAGCAUGCUGAGUAAAAAGACCAAAAUGUCCAAGCUGCCACGCAGCUGCUGCUGCUGCUUGCUGUACCGGUACAGCAUUAGGCUUGUACCGGUACACCAAUGCAGAAAAUGCAAAAUUCGCAAUUGCAAUGCACUUUCUUGCUUUUAGCUUUCCAAUCACCCUCUAACUUGUCCAAAAACUUGUCCAAGGCUUUUAGAAUAUGUAGGAUAGUUCCACUUUGCCUUCCACACACUCGAACUCUGCAAUUGGCAAAAGUUCAGUGUAUUACAUUCACCCCUCCUAGAAAGAAGUUUCGUCCGCGAAACUUAUAAACACUUACCUCAAGAUUCUGUCGAGAAUAGAUAAGGAUAAUGCUCUUGCAUUGCACUUUCCAGUUCCCAAGUGGCUUCUCGUUCCUCGUGAUUGCUCCAAAGGAUUUUCACGUAGGAUAUCUCGCGAUUUCGAAGCUGUUUCACUUCUCGAGCUAGUAUUCUCACUGGAUGCUCUUCAAAGCUCAAAUCUUCUCAUAAAUCCAUUGGAGUACUUUCUAAUAUGUGAGUUGGAUCAAAAACAUAUUUCCGAAGCGUAGAUACGUGAAAUACAUUAUGCACUCCCGAUAGGCUUGGCGGCAAAGCAAGCCGAUAUGCUACGGGGCCUAUCCGUUCCAAUACCUCGUAGAGUCCAAUAAAUCGAGGGCUCAACUUCCCUAGAAUACCAAAUCUCUUAACCCCCUUUGAGGGUGAAACUUUUAGGAAUACAUGAUCGCCAACUCGAAAUUCCAGUUCUCGCCGACGUUUAUCCGCAUAGCUCCUUUGUCGACUUUGAGCUGUCAGUAGAUGUUCUCGUGCAAGUCGAACCUUAGCUUCAGCUUCUUGCAGUACAUCUGGACCCAGGACUAAUCUUUCACCCACUUCACUUGUCACGCCCCGGGACCGAUACCAAUUUGGCCCGACCCGAGCACGUCAAACAGACGCCGAACGGACAGAGUUUCCCCUAUCCGCCCAAGGCUCAUCACGUGUACAAAUUCAAACAAGAAAUGCACUAGCGGAAACAUACACAAACGGCUUACACGAGGGUAAGCAAUAGCCAUUAGUGAAAGAAAAGAAAACUAAACAUUUAUAAGUACUAUGAUUCAUUUUUGAUCAUAUACAUUGCAUUCAUCUUGUUCAUUUUCGAAUUCCUUACAUUUUAUUUCAUCAUUUCUUUCUUACAUCACAAUUACCUCCAAAAUACACAUUACAUUAUUUUCUUUAUAUCAUUUACCAUCAUGUACAAAAGAUGAUCGUAGGGUACUCUACUACAAAAUGAAACCCAACUUUGGUGGCCUCUGACUAAGGCGCGAUACCUUUGCCUCGGUCGCUCGCCUGCUCGCUCGGUCCCGGCUCUGUGGAAAUAGUGGGGUGAGAACUACAACAAAGUUUCCAGUGGGUUCAGCCUCAACAUCACCGACUUUCCCACUAGGACUAACUCAGGCAUAAUAGAAAGGAUAAGCUGAAAUAUGGUAACCAAUCUACAACAUGAUGCUAAUAUGCCUGAACAAUAAGCAAGGAAUAUGCUCAACAUUAAAUAAAUGCAGAUUAUGCAAAUUUUUUUGUUCUUUAUCUUUACACUUUGUUCUUGUUCUUUGCACUUUGCUCUUUGUUCUUUAUUCUUUAAUCUCAAGGCUAACCCGGGGGUUUCGCCACAUUAACUUGCUUCACAUUAAGUCCAUCAUCGCAGGAGCUCACCCGCUAGGACCGUCCUUCGAGUUUACUCCAACCCGUGAUGCAUAACUCCGGAGCGCAUCGCCCGAGGGGGAGCGACCGCCCUCGAGCACGGAACUCAUAGCAAGUAUGAUCAUAUCCUUAACUCAAAGGAUUUAUAAGUUCAAUCUUGACUUUACACUAACUCUAGUGUUCUUUCAGCACUUUUUGUUGCCACUCUAGCAAUCAUUGUUCUUUACCAUUCAUAAUCUUGCUAUCUCUAGCAAUUUUAUUCUUUACAUUCUUUACUUUUGGCUACCUCUAGCACUUCACGUUCUUUACUCCCCACAUUACUUUAACUUUAAGCAUUGUCGUUUUCAUCGUUCUUUACAUUACAUUGGUUCUUUACCUCACAUUAUCUCUAGUGUCAUCUCACUUUAACUUUAUCAAAUGCCGCUCGAUCUAUGUCAUAGUGUCACUCUGUUCUUUUGCUCACUUUGGGUGCUCACUUUCUCUCAUGCAUACACAUAGGGUUUUCGACAUCACAUAGNNNNNNNNNNNNNNNNNNNNNNNNNNNNNNNNNNNNNNNNNNNNNNNNNNNNNNNNNNNNNNNNNNNNNNNNNNNNNNNNNNNNNNNNNNNNNNNNNNNNNNNNNNNNNNNNNNNNNNNNNNNNNNNNNNNNNNNNNNNNNNNNNNNNNNNNNNNNNNNNNNNNNNNNNNNNNNNNNNNNNNNNNNNNNNNNNNNNNNNNNNNNNNNNNNNNNNNNNNNNNNNNNNNNNNNNNNNNNNNNNNNNNNNNNNNNNNNNNNNNNNNNNNNNNNNNNNNNNNNNNNNNNNNNNNNNNNNNNNNNNNNNNNNNNNNNNNNNNNNNNNNNNNNNNNNNNNNNNNNNNNNNNNNNNNNNNNNNNNNNNNNNNNNNNNNNNNNNNAAAAGAAAAGCUUCAAAUACUCAAAUGGUUCCAUAAAACCCAUUUUAAGCUUAAUCCAAACCCUAGAUUAGGUUCUACCAUGAUUAGGGUUCAAAGCUUACCUUGUAAGCCCUCCUUUUCCAAGCUAGAGAUGAGGGAGGGGGAGUUUCUUCACUUCCUCUUCUUCUUCUCCUUUUUCUUCUCCUUCUUUUCCUUCCUUUCCUUGUCUUCUUCUUCUCCUUCUUUGUCUUCUGGAGAGAGAAAGAAGGAUGAGAGGGAAUGAGAGGGGAAAAAUGAGAGAAAAUCUCAUUAGGCCCCAUAACAUAGCUAUUGGGUUGCCAAAAUGCAAAUAAACCCCUCAAGUUUCACCUUAUUCCACUGCCUGGACUGGGCAGAUUUUGGGCUCGGGGACCGGUCUCCCCGACUAGGGACCGGUCUCCGAGAGCUCUCCCAGCGCAGCCAGAGCUGCUGCGCGCAAUGCGACCGGUCUCUCUUUGAGGGGACCGGUCUCUCCGGCAGGGACCGGUUCCCGAGAGCUAAUCCCUCAGGACUUAGCCGAUUUUUCGGCUGUCUCUCUUCAUACGCGUUCGGGGACCGGUCUCUCCUACCAGGGACCGGUCCCCGAGAGCUCAAAACUGCUGAAUGCAGAUUUUGAUUCUAUAGCUCUCGAAAACCUCCCGUAACUCGCUUUUAAUCGUUUUAACACCUUCGGACUUUCCGAAGUGUACCGUCCUCGCACUUUGGUCAAUUUGACUAAAGUUCGACAUUUUCUUAUUUUCCGAAUUACGGUAUAUUACAUCACUCCAAUGAAGGGGUGAUCUACACUUUCUACCAUACAGGGCUUCAAAAGGUGCCAUCUGAAUGCUUACUUGAUAACUAUUAUUAUAAGCAAAUUCAGCCAUCGGUAGGAACUGUGGCCAACUACCCUGGUAAUCAAUCACACAGGCCCUCAACAUAUCCUCAAGGGUUUGAAUGGUACGCUCCGACUGCUCAUCACUCUGGGGGUGGAAAGCAGUACUAAAAUCCAAUCGGGUACCCAAAGCCUCCUGUAAACUCCUCCAGAAAUGCGAAACAAAUCGGGUGUCUCUAUCAGAAACAAUAGAGGCUGGUACUCCAUGUAAUCGCACAAUUUCAUCGAGGUACACUUGUGCGAGUCUUUCUCCCGACCACACUGUAUGAAUUGGAAUAAAGUGGGCAGAUUUAGUCAAUCUAUCUACAAUUACCCAAAUUGCAUCAUGACCUGCUUGUGAGCGAGGUAAUCCAAUAAUAAAAUCCAUCUUAAUCCUCUCCCACUUCCACACUGGUAUGGAUAAGCUUUGAAGUUUUCCUGCAGGAAGUCGAUGUUCAGCCUUAACCUGCUGACAGGUUAAGCAUCUGGUCACAAAAUCAGCAACUUUCUUUUUCAUUCCAGGCCACCAGUAAGUUGAUUUCAAAUCUUUAUACAUUUUUAUACUCCCAGGGUGUAAAGUAUAUGGUGCCCGAUGUGCUUCCUUUAAAAUUUCCUCUUUAGAAUCUGGAUCGGCAGGUACACAAAUUCUAUCACCGAAUUUUAGUAAUCCCUGAUCAUCCACUUGAAAGUCGCCAACAGGAUCAGUAAUGAUCUUUGCUCGAAUCUUUUGUAGGAAUUCAUCAUGAGUUUGCUUUUCUUUAAUUCGAUCGAUCAGGGUAGGUUGCACUACCAAUGACAUAAGUCUCCAAGGUGUAUCAGGAGCUACAACUUCCAAACUCAACUGCUCCAUUUCCUUUACCAACAGGGGUUGCAUAGUUAUCGACAUCGCUAAAUUUUCCGUCGAUUUUCGACUUAAAGCAUCUGCUACAACAUUAGCUUUUCCUGGGUGAUAAAGAAUAGUCAAAUCAUAAUCCUUAAGCAACUCCAACCAUCUACGCUGUCUUAAGUUUAAUUCCUUCUGAGUAAACAGAUACUUUAAGCUUUUAUGAUAUGUGUAAACUUCGCAACGUUCACCGUAGAGGUAGUGGCGCCAAAGCUUUAAUGCAAACACCACAGCUGCUAACUCAAGAUCAUGUGUAGGGUAGUUCUUUUCAUAAUCUUUCAAUUGGCGAGAUGCAUAAGCAAUGACUCUGCCAUUCUGCAUUAGAACACACCCUAAUCCAUUCAGCGACGCAUCGCUGUAAAUCACAUAAUCUACUCCAGUAACAGGUAAUGCCAGAAUCGGGGCGGUGGUCAAUCAUUCUUUCAACUCUUGAAAGCUUCUUUCGCAAGCCUCGUUCCACAGAAACUUAGCCCCUUUAUGUGUCAGUUGCGUGAGAGACGUAGACAUCUUCGCAAAUCUUUCUACAAAUCUUCGAUAGUAUCCCGCUAAACCAAGGAAACUCCGAAUUUCUGUGACACUGGUCGGCCUAGGCCAAUCUUUAAUCGCUUCAAUCUUCUUUGGAUCCACAGCUAUCCCAGUUUCUGAAAUCACAUGGCCCAAAAAUGCCACUUCUCGAAGCCAAAAUUCGCAUUUCUUUAACUUUGCGAACAAUUUCUUUUCUCGAAGUACUUGCAACACCAUUCUCAAAUGAUUUUCAUGUUCCUCAUCACUUCGAGAAUAGAUCAAGAUAUCGUCGAUAAACACGACCACAAACCUGUCCAGAUAUAGCUUAAAGACACGGUUCAUUAAAUCCAUAAAAACUGCUGGGGCAUUCGUCAGUCCAAAUAGCAUAACUGUAAAUUCAUAAUGCCCAUACCGUGUCCUAAAAGCGGUCUUAGAGACAUCUUCAGACUUGAUCUUAAGCUGAUGAUACCCAGAUUGCAAAUCAAUCUUGGAAUACACUUUCGAUCCUUGCAACUGAUCAAAUAAAUCAUCGAUUCUGGGUAAGGGAUAUUUGUUCUUGAUUGUGACUUUGUUGAUUUCUCGGUAAUCCACACACAAUCGAAGAGAUCCAUCCUUUUUCUUAACAAAUAACACCGGUGCUCCCCAAGGCGACACACUAGGCCGAAUGAAGCCUUUAUCUAAAAGAUCUUGUAACUGUGCCUUCAGCUCUUUCAAUUCAGCGGGUGCCAUCCUAUAAGGCGCUUUAGAAAUAGGGGUAGUCCCAGGGACAAGAUCUAUCACAAACUCAACCUCCCUAUCAGGUGGCAUGCCCGGCAAUUCAGCUGGAAACACAUCCCCGAAUUCUCGCACAACCGGGAUAUCAUCAAUCUUGACGGCUUCUCCGUCACUCACAGAAAUGCUAGCCAAAUAGGCUACACAUCCUCUCCGUAUCAACUGUCGUGCUCGCGAAGAGCUAAUGGUCAUUGCGAACAAUGAACUCUGACACCCCUUAUAAACAAACUCCUGUUGACCCGGUUCCCUAAAGGUCACCGUUCUGUUCGUGCAAUCUAUGGUGGCAUAAUACUGUGUCAACCAAUCCAUACCCAAUACUACAUCAAACUCACCUAGUUUGUGUAGUGCCAAUAAAUCCACUGGCAUAAUCCAGUCGCCUACCCUAACUGGGCAGCGAGGGCAAAACUCACGAACAUCUAGGGUAUGGUCAGGUACAAUCACUCGUCCUGGAUGCAAGGUAGGUGCUAAAGGAAUGCUAUGCAACUCGGCGAACUGCCGAUCAAUAAAAGAAUGCGAAGCACCAGUAUCAAAUAAUGCACGAACACGAAUAUCAUAAAGCAUAAUGAUACCUGCUACGACCUCCUCUGAUGCUGCGGCGCCCUCAGUCUGGGCGGCGUAGAUCCGCCCACUCGAACCCUGCUGCGAACUCUCCGAUUGCCGCUGUCCUGGUGGUCGCCUAGACUGAUAGGGUGUUGUCAGGGUCCCCUGGCUCGGAGCUGAAGAUGCAGGCGCAGAAGCUGACGAGGGUACAGGCAAAGAACCUCUCAGGCACUCUGAGCGAAAGUGGCCCUCCUGACCACAGAGGAAACAUCUGCCCCCACGUUGUGGACACUGUGGCGGUACGUGAGGCCCACCACAGAUAACACAACGCGGCUGUGGACGACGCUCGGGCGCUCCACGGCGUGCUGACGAACCUCGGCCCCUCGACUGUCCCGACUGGCCUCUCGGAUACUUUGGCGGUCUCUUGAGAGAUUGCUGACCACUACUCUCAGCUGCUGGCCUCUUUCCUUUUCCUCGAUCCACGAUGUCCCUUUCCUUCAUUAUCUCUGCCCCCUUCUCAACAAUCAAGGCCCGAUUCACAACAUCCCUGUAAGUAGAGAGGUUUGACGCCUGGACCAAUCUGAAAAUCGCAGGUCGCAAACCCACCUUAAAUAUGCGAGCCUUGUCCCUUUUCAUUUGCCUCUUUACACUCUGGGGAAAGUAGGUUGUCAACAGUAAGUCCUUGAACCUGUUCCACGUGAUAGCAGACAAAUCAGUACGGGGAUUCUCACGAAUGUCCACCCACCACCUGUAAGCCUCGCCGUCAAGGUGGUGCGUCGCAAACCAAACUCGAUAUCGCUCCUCGACAAAUGUAUCAUAGCAUAACUUCUCCAUGUGCAUUAACCAUUUCUCGACCACCCAGUGAUCUGCUUUCUCCCCGUCAAAGAUACGAGGGGUGCAACGACGGAAUUCAUUCAAUUGUUCCAUCAUCCGCUCUCGUUCCUCAGCCCCCACCAUCUCAGGUAACAUUGUCCCUGAUACCGCUACAGGUACUGGUGGUGGUACUACUGUCUCCUGUGGGGUCUCCGCCCUCGGAGUUACUAGGGGUGUGUCAGGUACUGGUGACUGUGCUCUUACUGUCGCAUCCCUGUCUGGUACUGUAGGUAUAGGAUCAGGAAUCUCUCUGUCUGUCGUCUGCCGCAGUAGUAAAUCCUCUAACCUCUUCAUUCUAUCCUCCUGUCGACGCGCAGCGUCCAUCUGCUGUCGUGCAGCCGCAGCCUGCUGAGCAACCAAAUCUGUCAGCUUCACAAGCUGAUCCUGCAACUCAUGGAUCCCACUAGAUCCCGAAGUAACAGAAGUCCCCACUUCCUCUGCAUCCGCCGCCUCAGCUGCCCCGGCGGCUUGCGAACGAGUCAAAGGCAUCCUGAGCUGCAGCACAAAAACAAAUAUAGAUUAAUAAAACCUAUACUACUGACCCUUCAUUGAGGAUAUAAACCAGCUAAUUAAGCGAAAGUAACGAAAUGUAACGCGUACUAACUUUCGAUGUCACAUUGUCGGCCGCCAACGUGGCCCUUUGCAAAGUUAGUAAUUGCACAUUCCGAUCAAACUCCUACUAUUCGGAGUUUAUACUUUACCCAAUCGAAAUACUUUCGCUAACAACAGCCUCGACUAGACCUCGUCUCUCACGAGCCUAUUCUUAUAGUCCAACCAACCUAAGGUUUGCUAGGUCUACUAAGACUCAACCCUAGGCUCUAAUACCACUAUAAUCUGUCACGCCUGGGUACCAGCAGAAGCAUAUCCGGUACGUGCACAGACCCGCCAUACACCUACAGUAUAUAAGGCGUCUAUGAAGAAAGCAAGUCGAUAGGAAGUAAAACAAAGAAAGUCCUAUCCUGAUAUCAGAGCAAUGUACAAGUCGAUAUACUAUCAGUAAAAGAACAAAGAGUAUACAAUCCAAAAAUCUCAACCACAAGAAGAAGUAUCACAACAAAAACAUCUGGUUCAAAAGUAAAUAUACAUCACGGGGUAUACAAAAAUAGGUACAAUGGUGGUCUCUCUAUACAUAGGGACAUCACCCUCGGCCUUAACCCGAGUAGCAAGGUGAUCGACUAGCAUGCUCCUAGCAAUGUCUAGCUAGACGCGACUC
rnacentral:lncRNA from 1 species